AUGCAUAAGUUCAGGUUGCGUGUGGAGUUUCAGAUAUAUGCAAUUGAAUUAGAGCACCAUGCUCUCACCCAUGUAAUUUGCAGGGAAAACAUAAUAAGUUCUAAGAAAAUAAAUAUAGAAGUUCAUAUUUCGAAACAAAUGAAGUAUUUGGGAAAUAAAAUGAAGUAUUUCAAAGUACAAAACUUCUAUUUAGGUUUCUUUUGGGUACUUCUAAUGUUACUGUGCAUGAACUUGUCGGUAUUUUUACAUGUUUUACAUGAUUGUGGUCAUUUCGACCUUGACAAAUUUCAUUUGCUUUUUUACGUUCAUCUUACAGGUCGAAGGAGCUCCCUUCAGUUCAAUGGAUUCAACAAAAUAAUCCAUGUUGCCUACUAG
rnacentral:rRNA from 1 species